AGGAAUUAUAACUUCCUUAGGGAAGGUAUGAAUCACAUCACACAAAAAUCUCUGUCCAAGACCAAAUCUGAGGAGACUUUUAUCUGUCUGUGUGGAAUUCCAUAAAAUGAAACCCCCAACUCCUUUCUCAACUUGUUCUCAGAAGUCUCGUGAGAUUUUUCCCUGCUACCCUCAUCCCUUGUAGGCUGUUUCUCCGAGAAACCUGUCCAGCCAACCUGUUGAAGGCAUAUGCGCCGUAUUUUCACCAGCAUUUCCUUAAGAUAUUGGAUCUGAGCUAGGGGUGUAGCAUUGCUUAACAUAUGAGAGACCCAAGUUCAAUCCCCAGCACCACCAAGAAAGAGAACAUUGGUGUGAUGAAAGAAGACCUUGAUGCUAAGGAUUUCUUUUCAGAAUAAAAGCAUGAUCUUAAAAACUGCAAACAAGGUUCAAGACAUGAGGAAAAGAACACAGUAUUGAGGAGGAUUCUGGGAAGAUGGAAGCCCUUCAAUUUGAAACAAUCUCAUUUGCCUAUUCAGAAGCACAAUCUGUGUUUUUCACAAGUGGCUCUUGAAAUCCCCCCAUGAAACAUUCUAGAAGAUCUACCCACCCUCAGUAGAAGGUUUCACCACGGCUGCUCCUGUCAUUGGUUAUCCAGGAGGUGACAUGGAUAAACCCUUGAAAUCACAUUCAUCACAUACAGGCUGCCAAGAGCAUUCAUUCACACGGAACAAGGGAUGCAGGAAACACUUCAGAGGACAGCCCUCAUCUCUUCCUUCAAGCCAGACCUACCAAUUCUGCUGUUCCAUGAUGUGCUGCAUUGAACAAAAGGGGAUUUGGUACCCGGUGGCCGAGAAGUGAGCCUCAAGGGGCCCAUCAGGCCACUAGAUCUGUUUCUCUGGGUGCAUGACUGCCACACACAUCAUGACUCCACCUCCUCAAGACCUGUGUCCUGAGUCUUCUGUGCAGCUGUGCCUUCCAGGCCCUUCAUGGUGGCCUUCGUUUCUGUCUGUCUUUCCCUGCUACCUGAUAAGACUAAUUUUGCUUCUAAUUUCAUAUCUUGGCGGAGCUCUUGGGGGGAUUAUUCAUGAUUUCCAUUUGUCUUUUCUUACUACCGUAGCUCAGACUCCACAAACAACUCUAGGGUGUGGGUAGCUCAUACUUGCUAGCUAUCUGCCAGUCUGCUGAGGAACUGGAGACAGACCAGCUGGGUGGGGCCACAGACCCAGAGACUCACUGUAACCCAGACAUUAGCCGGAUUCUCAUACGACUUGACUCCAUGGACCCUCACUAUAACAUGACAGACAAAAUGAGGCUGUGAGUCUGUGCCCAACAGUCUGAAACAUCUGGUAGGUCCUCUCCCUGACAAUAGUCAAGAGUGUAAGUGACCAGGGCCCCUUUGGGAAAGGACUAAGGGAAUAAUUACACACUGGCCAUGGUGCUGUGGACUCCUUCCUUCAAGGACAAACCCUACUAGGCUUCAGAUCUAGAAUGGGCUAGGUAGUGAGCUGAAUUGAACUCGAGGCUGUGGCUUAUUGUAGGGAUUGCCUACCCCCUGCUCCUCUUUUCUUCCCUUUGAAGCACCUGUUCUAAAUGCUCAUCAGCAUUGGUGAUUCUUCUUGUUAUCGUAAGAAGCAAUUCUGUUAAAACAAUACCUCUAAUGUUCUCUGUGAGCCCAUUCCCCUCAAGUCCCUCUACCCUGCUGUUCCUUACAGUGGUUGUAGCCUCUUGGUCUCUUACAAUUAACCUCAACUUACAUGGAGGAGUCUUGGCUUUACUGGUCACCAAUUCCUAGAGAGGUGUCCCAUAGCUGGUACUGGGAUCUUAAUUUAGUAACUCAUUGCUUUGAAGAUCAGUAUUGAUACUCUCUGGCAUCCCAAGGCCCUGUGUAUGAAACCUCUAUCCAAAGUUUUUUUUAUUUAAUUUUGGUUUUCAUGUGCCUUCUUUAUACAUUCUUUAUCACUAUUUACCAUUCUAUGCCUGUUUAAGCAUUGCCAUCCCAAUAUUUCCUCACUCUAUUUUCAUAGCACGUAUGUUCUGCCAUCCCCACAUACCUCAAGAUGUCUGAAUUAUGCUUUUAUCCAUGCUCAACAUGGCCCCUUUCUCCCUUCUAGAUCUCUAUAGAUAUUCCAAUUUUAACAAACAAAUCUAAAAAUUCAAAGCUAUGACCCAAAUACGAAAGAGAAUAUGCUGUGUUUGGUUGAGUUUGGGGGCUGGGUUAGCCAGCUUGGUAUAAUGUUAAAUGAAUAACUAGAAAAGAUUUUCUCCCAUUCUGUAUGCUGUUCCUUCACUAGACUGACAGAAGAGUUUUAGUUUCCUGAGUCCCCUGAGAUAUUUUUGUCAAUUGUUGCUCUUAAUUUUCCUACAAAACUGGAAUCCUGUUCAGAAAGUUCUUGUCUGUGACUCUAUGUUGAAGUACACUCACAGACUUUUUCAAUAGCACUUUCAAAGUAUCAGGUCUUAUGUUGAAGUCCUUGACACAUUUGGAAUUGAGUUUUAUGCAAGAUGAGAGAUAAAGCCCUAGCUUCACUUUUUAAAAAGUGUUUGAUUUUUUUAAGACUGUGGGACUUUUGAAGUCAUUUAUGUUUUAUAUUGUGAUAUAUUGGAGGUUGAAUAAGAAAGGAAAAGUUAUGGUUUAAUAACAAUCUAAUAGUAAUGUAUUUGGUGUUCAAGUUGGCAUGGGUUGAAUUGUUCUUUUCUCUCUCCUUUUUUGUCAACUUGACACAAGCUACAGUCACAUCCUCUUUCUCCAGCAUCAUUUGUUGAUACUGUCUUUCCUCUAGUGAAUAGUUUGGAAUUUUCAUUACAAAUCAGAUAGAUAUAGUUGCAUUAGCUUAUUCUUUUAAUCUGCAUGUCUGUUUUGUGUCAGUACCAUUCUGUUUUGAUGACUGUACCUCAAUAGUAUAACUUGGAAUCAGGUAUGGUGAUACCUCCUACAGUGUUCUUUUUGUUCAGGACAGCUUUGGCUGUCCUUAGUCUGUGUCUCCAUAUAAUUUUAAAAAUCCUUUUCCUGCAUCUUGGAAGAACGGCUCUGGAGUUCUGGUGGGGACUGCACUAAAUUUUCAGUUGCUUUGGUGAAGUGACCAUUUUCACAAUAUUAAUUCUUUCAACCCAUGCACAUGGGAGGUCUUUCUGUCUUCUAGUGUCUACCUCAAUUUCUUUCUCCAGUGUUUUAAAGUUUUUGUUACAAAGGUUUUUCAUUCCCUUGCUUAGAAUUAUUCACAGGGUAUUUAAUUUUUUAUGGCUAUUGUAAAUAGGAUUGUUUCUCUAGUUUCUUAAUCUGUUUGUCAUUGGUGUGUUUAGGAAAGUGCAUAUAUUCUGGGGUCUCCAUUGCAUCUUACACUUGCAACAAAACUUGGCAAUAUGUAAGAGUCAAUCAGAUAGUAAUGGCUUUGAAGAAAUGAGGGAGUCAUGGAGAAUAGUUGAGGUUUGCACCUGUGGGACAUGGCUGGAGGCUCUGAGGAAAGGCUAAGAGAGCCCACUGGUGAAGAUGCAGCCUCAGUUGCAGUGGAGACUUCAGUAUACUAGAAAUACCAGUACCAUGGGAUAAUGGCUAAGGACUAAGCAAUCAGUACAAAGUAGAGCUACCAGACAAGCUGCAUGAACUUCAGAUGGCAGAGACUAGAAGUGAAACUGCCCAGGCUCUUUGGAGCCCAAAAGAUUGUGAGUGGUACUCAGACAUCAACCACUGAAUUUUUGUACUGUUGAAUCUUGCUUUUGCUUUGCUUUAAUUGUUACUGUGUCCUGACUUUUCUGUCUUGAAAUAAGAAAGUAUUUGACUUGUUUUUGUUUGUUUGUUUAAUUUUAUUUUACAGGAGCCCUUAACGAUAACUCUUUCUGCCAGCCGCCCAAGCCUUGCCGCCAGGCUAGGGCCCCCAAACAACACAGAGUCUUAUACUAGUUACAUGCUGCUGGCCAAUGACUCUGAUUUUGUAUCUGAUAGCUCAGUCUUAAUUAUCAACCUUAACUACUAAUCUAUAUAUUUUUAUAAGGACUUAUCUUAUGGAGAAUGCUGGCCUUAUGUGUCCUCUCUUCCAGGCGAUCACAUGGCGACUCCUCUCCUAUUGUAUUUCCCAGAAUCCUCCUUCUCUACUAGUCCCACCUAACUUGCUUCUCUAUUGGCCAACAGUGCUUUAUUUAUCAACCAAUAAGACAAACAUUUACACAGAAAGACCUCCCCAUCAGAGCCCACAGUUCAGAUACUUUUAACUUUCGAAAAGGUGUUGGACGUUUUAAAGUAACAGAACUUUUUAAAGGGUUUGAAUUUUAUUUUAAAGACUAAGAGACUUUAGAGUAACCUGAGUAGCAUUGUGUUGGAUAUUCUUUGAAGAGCUGGUAGAACUGUUUGGAUAGUGUAUAUGGUCCUAUUCCGCCCCCCCCACACACACACUGAGAGAUGUUUUACUAUUCAGUAUCAUUGCAGGUUAUAGAUCUAUUUACAUGAUUUAUCUUAUUUUGGUUUGCACCCGCCCAUUCAGGUCAGAUGAUGAAGCUCAUGAGUGCCUGUGCUUUCCUAUUAACUAUAGUUUCUCUUUCUCCUCUGCUGGAUAUAUAACCAACUCAGCAAAACCAAGCAAUGCCACUGCUCAACAGACACCAAUACUCCGUAUUUGCAAAUGCUUGCAUCAUUGCAACUGUCUUGACAUCAUCCUCCAUGGCUACCUUAGUGAUGUUUUCAACAGCUAAGCUUCCACAUUAUGUAAAGGGCAGUAUUUCAUGCCUCUUACCCCAGGAUAGUGACCAUGUCAGCUGCCAACCAGUGCAUGAUCCAAUCUCUAAACUGCUACUCAAACCAUGCUUAAUGCCAUUGGUGUUUAACUGUAUCUUCUGAGAAGCAGACAGGACUACAGGCAACUCCCCAUCAUGUUCAGCACUCCAAUGAACUGAGGACCCAAUAUCUGGUUAAAGAAAUGAUCUGACUAGACACAUACAGAGUUUUUUCUGUCAUUAUUCCCUAAUAAAAUGGUGAUUUACACACAUUAGUUUUUAUAAGAACUCUAGAUACAGUACAGAGCUCACAAGAGGAUUGUAUAUAGGUUCUACACAAAUGCUAUAUAUACUAUUUCAUAUAAGAGACUUGAGUAUCUGUACAUGUUGACAUCCUGGAACCAAUCCCCUACUGAGGUAGAAAGCUGCUCUAUCUAAACUGAAAUUACAUAGGUUCUUAUUAGUAAACAUUAUUGUGUGAGGGUGAAAAGGCCUGAAAACACAGUCCUCUGACUAUGCAUGUGACCCAAGUAAAUAAAGGGAUGGGUAUCCAGUCCAUUGGCUGGUACUUCUGGGCAAACAUAUUGUGUGGCUAGAGCUCUGGGUGGAGAGCAUCCUUGUCCACUAUGGAGUAGAAGCCACACUUCUAGUAGAGCUCUUUCAAGAUCUUUGGAGCCACCACAUGCCGAAAGUUUGCUAUUAUGACCGUAAUGAGAAAAUCAGUAGGACAUGAGAUACUAAUUUAUACUCUGUUUAGAGAAGAUUGAACUUCCCUUCUGUGGCCCAAAGGUGAAACCAGAUGUCACAGAGGAAGAGGGGGGAGUGGUACCCAGCGGGCACACCCCUCCCACCCACAGUGAGUUUUCUUAAUGGCUGUCUGUCUUAUAUCCAGCAACUAUAGCUUUAAGGGCUUUAGGGAACAUUUAUUCUUUAUUAUGACACAAUACGAAUAAACCACAGAGCCAAGUUCAUGGAGACAAAGUCAGGGAUGCCAGGAGCCUGCUGUGGAGGGAUGUGCCUUUACUACUAUUUCUUCAGGGGACAAAGACAGGCUGGUGCUUUUAUGAGACACUGUGGUGGUUGUAUUCAUUAGUAGCAAGCACUGAGAAGUUAAGCUCCCACUGUAAUAUGCCAUUCAUGGCCUGUUUAAUAUACUAAGUGUGAUGGCUAGACCCCUGCUGACUUCCACUGGGGAACAUAAAUAUACAGGCAACUAAACUAAACAGCUACCUGUGACUAUUUGAAAAUAUACUUCCCCAAGACAGAAUGAAUUUUCAUUUUUAUUGGAUUUUUUGAAAAAAUUCUUCCAGGUGGAAAUCAUCUUCAUAUACCUAUGAACCAUCACUCUUUGCUGACAAAUGAUGCUACUGAGACUGCUUUUUGAGCUGUAUUAUUAAAUCAUUGUUAAAUUAUUGACUAAUUACAGUUGUGUUUUGUUUAACUUGAUUUCAUCUACUCAUUUAAAAAAAUUCAAGUCUAAUUUUGUGUAUCAGUAUAUUUUAUAGACUCGCAGAACCUUUAAAGAAAAACCAAGCAUUGUGAGUGAAAACAUGAUUUAGAUUAGGAGAAAAUAAACA
ensembl:lncRNA